UAGGGAAUCUUCCGCAAUGGACGAAAGUCUGACGGAGCAACGCCGCGUGAGUGAUGAAGGUUUUCGGAUCGUAAAGCUCUGUUGCCAGGGAAGAACGUCCGUUAGAGUAACUGCUAACGGAGUGACGCCUGAGAAGAAAGCCCCGGCUAACUACGUG
rnacentral:rRNA from 1 species